CCAAAUUGAGUUUCGUGAAAUUUAAUCUGUCUUCAUGUUCACGCUCUAAUUGUACCCCUCACCCUAAUUUGAUUCCACUCUCGUCCACUCCCUGCCCACUCACUCCUUUCUUUAGUUUAUUCCAGUUCCUUUAAUUUAUUCCAAUUCCUCUCUGGCCGCUGACUCCUUUAGUUUUCCAAGUUUUUUUUAUUUUUUUUAUAUUCCCACCUACUUCCCGUUAUUUUUUUCUAUGUGUUUUUUUCUUUUCAGUGUCUCGUUUUCGGUUUCAUUCAUUCCAUCUCAUUGUAUUUCGGUUGUUCUUCUUUUCUAACAUAAUACUCGUCACCCACUCAUCCAUCCGCUAUUUACACAAUCCUUUUCAUCCGAACACAUCUGUAUCCUAUAUCCAAUUCUUUACGUCAUCCAUUUUCCACGUUAGUUCGAAUCCACAUCGCACAUUCAUUCACCCUUCAUCCAAUCUCUAUCCACCUAUCACCCACACACUCACUCAGUCACAUCACAUCUCAUCCAGAACACGCCUCUUCAUCCACGCAUACACACAUCUCUACUCUGUUACUCAUCCAUUUCCACACAGCAUCCAAUCUCCACUUUUGAACUUUGCCACACCUCCACAAACAAUUACCUGCACUUCACCCACGCAUUCCCGCACAUCCAACCUCUCUCUCUGCACCUCCACGCCUCCACCUCUUCCCCGGCACACUCGCAUUCGCCACUCACUCCCGAGGAAACGAGACGGCAAGACUUCAAACGACGGAGAGUAUGAGAACAAUUAUUGAACUAUUCCGCAGACAGAGAGAGCUCGGCGACCCGGCGGCCGUCAACCCUCUGCUGUGGUGUAAUCGAUUGAAGAGCAAGAGAGGCCGCGACGGGACGAGGAUGAUGAAUGGCAAAGGCAAAGAGAGGGAAGGAAAGGCCGCAGAGGGAGAGAAACGGCGUAGAAAAGUAAGAAGGGAUAGCAAAAGAGGGGUCUGGAGACUACGAAUAAACAGAGUUGAUGAAUGGCAGAGGCAAAGAAAGGGAAGGAAAGGCCGCAGAGGGAGAGAAACGGCGCAGAAAGAGAAAGGUAAGAAGGGACGGCAGAAGGAAAGGAUAAGUGAAAGAGGAGGAUAAGAUAAAGCUUGAAGGUGAGCGGAUGAAGAAAGAGGUUCGCAGAUGGGCAAGUCUAUGGUGGAAGAAGAGAACGAGGUGGAGAAAAGAGGCAAAAUAAAGAGGAGAGGAAGAGGGAUCGAAAAGGGACAAAGAAGGUGAGUGAAAGAGAAUGAUAGAUCACAGGAGAAGGAAGGUAACUGAAGGAGGAGAGAGAACAUACUUAGGUGGUACUUGAUUACAUGAUUUCAAGUAAUUAAUGAACACGUGACCUGACCCCAUUAGGAAGGUGACGAGCAUAACAAGAUAAUACACAAGGUCAUCACUUCUGGACGUGUAUGGAUCAAGACAAUUAUUACAGGUGUUCUGAUCAGUUCAAAUCGGAUAGAGAAAAAAGAUACAGUAAGAGCAAUUGAAACUAAGCAGUAAAAUAAACAAACUGAAAAUAGACGACCACUGCACGAAGGAUUAACUUAGUAAUGUGGGAUGACUUAGAUAAUUAGUUCUUCCGUGUUCUAGUCGGUGUGCAAAUCAGGUAAAAAAAAUAUAUACUGAAAGGUCAUUAUAAGCCAUUAAGUAGUAAAACAUACACACUCAAAAUUAGCGAACAUUAAACGAGGAAUUCAUUUCGUAAUAAGUGUUAAUCUAGAUAAUUAUCGCUUAAGUGUUCUCGUAAACGCAAAUCAGUUAAAAAAAAAACACCUCCAUUUGUAGGAGAGCAAUCAUAUCUCCGGGCAUAAAAAUAAGCUAAGAAACAUUGCACAAGGGCUUCAUUAACUUGUAUGUCUGCAUCUCGAUACGUCUCGCAUUCAAGAUCCAAUCAGCACAAAUCGGAGAAAAAUGACGCAAUGGUUAGCGGGAAAAUCAAGAAAUCACACAAAACAAAAAAGCAACGACACUUCAAACGAGUAAAUCCUCUCGCACCUCUCGCAAUUCAAUAAACACACAUCGAAAAAAAAAUGACACAACAGCGAUGCCUUCCUUUCUUUUCCCCUUUCAUUUCCUCUUUUCUCGUUCACCUAGUUUUGUUCUUUUUUUUGUCCCUUUUCAGCCUUUACUUUUUUUGUGUGUGGUCUGGUUUGCUAUCUGGGUACCUUGUUUUCUUCAUUUUUCUCUCCUAUCUUCUUCCUUCCUCUCCCUUCCUCAUCCCUUCGCACUUCACGCAUUCAACAAACACACACAUCGUACCAUAAUAAAAUAACGCAAGUGUGAGCGGCCGAGUCAUCAAAUCAGACGAAAGAACAACCCGACGACUGUAAAACGAAUUCAUCCCUUCGCACUCGACUUUCCCCCUAACGAAUCAGAUAUAACGCAAUUUAUCGAAGUGCUCCCCGCGGCUCUGGCAAUCACGAAAAUGAUCAACAUAUUUCGCUAACGUCCUCUCUCUUUCUUCCCUCCCUUUGCUCCUCCUCUCCACUACACUGCAAUAUACGAGAAAGAUAUAUAUAUACAAAUAGCUGAAAACAUGUGAAUAAGUGGGAAUAGAGAGGAGGUUUUCUAGAUCAACUUAUAUCUCUUCCUUCCCUCCAACAUUCCCUCCCUCCCCUCCUCGACCUCACUGCAAUACACGAGGGAAAAAUGAAUAAAAAAUAAAUACAAAAAAAAAUGAAUACACGCGAACACAAGUGGGAUUAGAGAGGUUUUUUUCCGCUUAUUCACGUGCGGGUAAGAGGCGCUGCACCGACACACUCAGGUGAUAGAAAAAGCGGCUUUCCACCUGAGUUCACCUGAGAGAGAAAAGCAAAUCGAUUCGUCAUCCUUCUGAGCGACUUUAGCGAGAAACGAGGUGAAUGGCGUGACCUAUUAAGGGGAGAGAGAGAGAGAGAGAGAGAGAGAGAGAGAGAGAGAGAGAGAGAGAGAGAGAGAGAGAGAGAGAGAGAGAGAGAGAGAGAGAGAUAAUAACCCAUUUCCUCCUCUUUCCUCCCUUUCAUCCUUGUCCUGUUUGUCAUCCUCUUUACUCGUCUUCGUCUUCCUCCUCCUCCUCCUCCUCCUCUUUUCUCCCCGCUUCUCUCUUCUUCGACCUUCUCUUCCCAUUUCUUCCUCUCUUCUCUCCCUCCUCUCUUCUGACACAGUCUUCUUCCCGCUUCUCUCUUCUUCCUUCACCUUCUUCUCUUCCCUCCUCUUCUUUUUUUCCUCUUUCUCCUCCUCUCUUCUGGCAUAGUCUCCUCCACCCUUCUUUUCUCUCCUUCUUUUCUUCCUCUUCCUCCUCCUCUUUCUCUCUCCUAGCAUAGUCUCCUCCCUACCUCCCUCUCUCCUCACUCUCGACCUUCUCUUCCUAUUUCUUCCUUUCUUCCUCUCCCUUCUCCUCUCUCUCCUACCGCUGUCUCUUUUCUCUUUCGACCUUCUCUUUCCACUUCUUCCUUCGUCAUUUUCCGAUCAGUUUCCUCUCCGCUGCCAUCUCCCAGUUAAUCCUAUCCCUUCACUCCUUCAACUUUUCCACAACACAGCUUCUCCUCUCCUUUCCUCUCCCCUCCUCUCAAUAUCCUUUCCUCUCCUGGCUCAUCUCCGAUUACCUCGCUUCCAGGAACUUUGGGAACCCAAAUUUUGGCUGUAAUUACCUUAGGGUUUCAAUCAUCGUGUUUUGACCCGGGUAAAAAUAACACCACACCAAUACCUUACAGCCUCGGCAAGCCACUGCUGAAUAGACUGAACAGGUGUUUCUAUAUACUGACAAAAGGUUAAUUAGAUCACCUCACCUCGUAACCACCUUUCAAGUGACAGCAUUUACAGAGACAAAGGAGGAUGGAGCAAGGGAGGAUGGAGCGAGUCAGAUCUUCUAUGUGUGUUAAAGCAAGCUAUUCCGACCUUCUGCCACCUCCGACCCUCCUUCCAAGUUUCAUCAGCUUUUACGUAAACAAAAAUCCAGUUACCAAGUGAGGAUGGAGUGAAUCAGACCCUCUAUGUCUGUAAAAGCAAGCUAAUCCAAACCUCUCCCACCUCCUACCCGCCUACCCAAGUCUCUUCAGCCAUUACCGAAGCAAGAAUUCAAUUAUCUCAUUAAACCCGAGGCACUGUAAGAGCUUGCUGGGGAUCCUUUCACCGCUUGAGACUGAGGGAAGGAUUAGGGCAGUCACGCAUUUACAAGAGGAACCAAUCUUCCCGUCUCUUCAGCCACUACAAAAACAAGGCAUCGGUUAUCCUAUUUUUCAUCGCUUGAGAGUCGGGGAAGAUUAGGAAAUUCACGCAUUUACAAGAGGUUGAUUUAAUGAGUCUAACACCCGCCAACCAAUCUUCCCGUCUCUUCAGCCACAAGAAAAACAAGACAUCGGUUAUCCUGUGUUUCAUCGCUUGAGACCGGGGGAAGAUCAGGGUAUUCAUGCAUUUACAGCAGGUGUAUUUCUUGCCUUUAACACCCGCCUACCAACCUUCCCACAGACUUUAGUUACCUUAGAAACAAGAAUUCAAUUAUCUCAUUAAACUCGAGACAUUGUUGGGAGCUUCUGCGGAUCCUUUCAUCUUGGGACUAGGGGAGAGAUUAGGGCAUUGAUGCAUUUACAACUGGUUUAUGUAUCGCCUCUUAAUUUUUUUUUUUAUAUAGGAAUGGAAGCAGCUCAAGGGCAAUAAAUAAAAACAGGAACAAAAAGGCCCACUAGACGCUGAUCCAACAAAGAAAAAAAAGAACGGGGUCAAAAGAGAGGCUAAUUUUCACACCUACGAACCUUCCCCCGUCUCUUCAAUUACUAUAGAAGCGAGAAAGCCUCUCAUUCUAUUAUUUCUCGGGCUCUAAAGCUGUCUGGCAAUAACCGGUUGGCGCCAAGUUGAAUAUAAUCAAUACUCGUAAACUGAUUCACCAAUUGCGUUAAUCCUUUGAAUCUUCCGCCAGCUGCUCAGGGGAUGCGCCGUGUCCAGUGAGAAUCUGUCCAGUAGCCAGUCAGUCAGAUGGUUAGUCAAUCAGUUGGCCAGUCACUUAAAAAAAUAGCCAGUCAGUCAAACAUCCAGCCAGUAGGUCAGCCAGUCGGUCAACCAAUCAGUUAAUCAGUCAGUUAGUUAGCCAAUUAGUCAAACAUUCAUUCAGUCACUCAACCAUUCAGCCAGUCAGUCAGAUAGUUUUCCAAUCAUUCAUUCAGUCAGUCACCUAGUUAUCCAAGCAAAUAGUCAGUCAAUCAGUUAAUCAACCAACCAGUUAGCCAUGUAGUCAGUUAAUCAGUCAGUCAGUCCACCAGUUAUCAAAGCAGCCAGUCAGUCAAUAAGUCAAUCCACCAACGAGUUAGCUAUUUAGUCAGUUAUUCAGUCAGUCAACCACUUAAACAAUCAACCAGUCAGCCAGUCAGUCGGUCAGUCCACCCAACACCAUUUAGUCUGCGAGCGAGGGAGCAAAAGUUUCCAUAAAGAACGAGGUGGCGAGCGUGUGGAUGAGGAGAGCAAAGUGGAUGAGUUAAUGGAGUGGUGCCGCUGAUGUGAGGCCUGACACGAAGGAGUGGAUGAUGGGGGCGGUGGUGAUGGCAGUGAUGGGAAGGGAGAAAACGGCGUGAAGGAGGAAAGAAGAGGGAGGACGUGAACCAGAAAAAGAG